rnacentral:lncRNA from 1 species
CACAACCCCAGCCCCUCAAGUUUUUAAAUACUAGUGAAUCAAAUGCUUAUUCUCUAGUUUUUCUCCCUUCUUGAAAAAGGUAUGUUAAAAUCAAACUGUAGAUUUAGCUUUUUUUCUUUUUAGUUCUAUCAACCUUUGCUUUUUAUUUUUUUUUUAUGGAGGCCAUGUUAAUAGUUAUGUACAAAUAGAGAUUAUCCAUACUCACAUUUUUAUCUUUAAGUUCCCAGGAUACAGGCCAGGAAGCAGCUGUUCUCCCAUAAAGCUUCAGUCUCUAUGGGUGGGUGACAGUCCCUGGCCAAGUAAAUAAAGCUCUCAUUGAUUUUUUUAAAAUAUUUAUUCUUAAGUUUUAGGUGGACACAAUAUCUUUAUUUUACGUUUAUGUGGUGCUCAGGCUUGAACCCAGUGCCUCGUGCAUGCUAGGUAAGUACUCUACCACUGAGCCACAAGCACAGUCCCAGCUCUCAUUGAUUUGAAUUCGGACUUAAGAGUGUUUUCUGAAGCGGCUCCCCAUAACAGUACCAGGAACUCCCAGUAGUAAACCCCACCAAUUUGAGAACGCCUGGUUCAUGUGGUAUCCUCCCUAGCUCCAGCUCAAGUUCAGCACAGCACCAGAGAUGGGGUGACCCACUUGAGCCACAUAGCCUCUCAGAGAUGGGUGUGACUGGCCAAAAUGCCAGUCACCCUGCUUACUGCAAGACCCCUGCCACACGGAGAAGCAAACACCAAACCAAGACUCCUCCUGCUGAAACCUUAUCCCUGCCUUUGAUGUACUCACUCUUAAAUAAUCAGCCAUUUUUCAGUCAUUCAGUUCCAGCUCCCAUCAGGACUGGAAGACACUCCCCUUUUCAUAUCUAAUUUCUGGCUCUGUUUUUAUUUCUUACUGAUUAUUUCAGACUUUUUAUUUCCUAGGCCGCUCACACCUCCUGAGCAAGAACCUUCCCUCUCGUGAUGCUGGUCACCCAGUCAAUCCCUUUCACCCACCUUGCAGAGAAGCAGUACUCCUGCUGCUUUCACCAGAGUCACAGAGCAACUAGAAAUGCAGCCUUCCUCUAGACCAACAUUUGAAUUCUCU